rnacentral:misc_RNA from 1 species
GAAAUGCGAUAAGUAAUGUGAAUUGCAGAAUUCAGUGAAUCAUCGAAUCUUUGAACGCACAUUGCGCCCGUUAGCAUUCUAGCGGGCAUGCCUGUCCGAGCGUCAUUUCAACCCUCAGGGCCCCCCGUUCCGGCGGGCGGACCUGGCGUUGGGGAUCGGCCCGCCCCGUGCGGCGCCGUCCCCCAAAUACAGUGGCGGUCCCGCCGCAGCCUCCCCUGCGUAGUAGUUUACAACCUCGCAUCGGAGCGCGGCGCGGCCACGCCGUGAAACCCCCGACUUUCUGAACGUUGACCUCGGAUCAGGUAGGAAUACCCGCUGAACUUAAGC